rnacentral:tRNA from 2 species
GUUUUUGUAGCUUAUACCUAAAGCAUGACACUGAAAAUGUCAAAAUGGGACACACUCUCCAAAGACA